CCUACGGGAGGCUGCAGUGGGGAAUAUUGGACAAUGGGCGAAAGCCUGAUCCAGCCAUGCCGCGUGUGUGAAGAAGGCCUUCGGGUUGUAAAGCACUUUCAGUGGGGAAGAAAGCCUUGGGGCUAAUACCCUCGAGGAAGGACAUCACCCACAGAAGAAGCACCGGCUAACUCCGUGCCAGCAGCCGCGGUAAUACGGAGGGUGCGAGCGUUAAUCGGAAUUACUGGGCGUAAAGCGCGCGUAGGCGGUCUGAUAAGCCGGUUGUGAAAGCCCCGGGCUCAACCUGGGAACGGCAUCCGGAACUGUCAGGCUAGAGUGCAGGAGAGGAAGGUAGAAUUCCCGGUGUAGCGGUAAAAUGCGUAGAGAUCGGGAGGAAUACCAGUGGCGAAGGCGGCCUUCUGGACUGACACUGACGCUGAGGUGCGAAAGCGUGGGUAGCAAACAGGAUUAGAUACCCGGGUAGUC
rnacentral:rRNA from 1 species